UGGAUGGACUGGAUGCCGUAGUGCCAAACCUUAUGGGGCUGUACAAAGCAGCUGUUGCAUCAGGCCGGAAGAAGAGCCUGUGCAGCAUUCUCCACUGCCUUCAAACAGAGGAUACAAAUCAAAACAGAGGGACGGCAGCCCUCCUCGGGCUUCCACAGUAUCUUUCAGAAGAUUCCUCUAAUGUUAUCAAGAUCUGUGAUGCUCAUGGAGAGACCCUCGAUGUGAUCCUAAAAGGACUGCAGGUUGAGAU